ACGGAAGGCAGCAGUGGGGGAUAUUGCACAAUGGGGGAAACCCUGAUGCAGCGACGCCGCGUGAGCGAAGAAGUAUUUCGGUAUGUAAAGCUCUAUCAGCAGGGAAGAAAAUGACGGUACCUGACUAAGAAGCUCCGGCUAAAUACGUGCCAGCAGCCGCGGUAAUACGUAUGGAGCAAGCGUUAUCCGGAUUUACUGGGUGUAAAGGGAGCGUAGACGGUUUGCCAAGUCUGAUGUGAAAGGUGGGGGCUCAACCCCCAAACUGCAUUGGAAACUGGUAGACUAGAGUGUCGGAGAGGUAAGUGGAAUUCCUAGUGUAGCGGUGAAAUGCGUAGGUAUUAGGAGGAACACCAGUGGCGAAGGCGGCUUACUGGACGAUAACUGACGUUGAGGCUCGAAAGCGUGGGGAGCAAACAGGAUUAGAUACCCUGGUA
rnacentral:rRNA from 1 species